rnacentral:sRNA from 12 species
UGCCUAAACUCUAUUUAAUAGGGCAUGGCACAAAAACCCAGUAAGAGAUAUUAAGCUCGUCGUCAGAGCACUCUUACUGGGUCAUAACUCGAAAGAGUUAUGGGUAGCCGAAAGGCUAUC